UUAUUCAUUGGGUAUGAUAUU
rnacentral:piRNA from 1 species